GGUGUUGCGAUCCAAUGAACAGCGAGAGAAGUUGACCAAGGAUGGUGCUCCCUAGAGGGCUUAGCUGUGGGGGAGAGAUUUGGAAGAGGAAGGGAAAGAGGCAAGUCAAGGAUAUGGUCAAAGUCUCGAAAGAGCAAGAGCAAGAAGGAAGUCAGGUACUACAAGUGCAAUGAGAUCGAGCACUUUAAACGAGAUUGCCCACAGUGGAAGAAUAAGAAUGGAGAUAAGGGAGGAUCUGAUGCACUGAGUACGGUGGCUGACAGUGAGGUGG
rnacentral:lncRNA from 1 species